rnacentral:rRNA from 1 species
UUAAACUGAAGAGUUUGAUCAUGGCUCAGAUUGAACGCUGGCGGCAGGCUUAACACAUGCAAGU